rnacentral:rRNA from 1 species
CCUACGGGAGGCAGCAGUGGGGAAUAUUGGACAAUGGGCGAAAGCCUGAUCCAGCCAUGCCGCGUGUGUGAAGAAGGCCUUCGGGUUGUAAAGCACUUUCAGUGGGGAAGAAAGCCUUGGGGCUAAUACCCUCGAGGAAGGACAUCACCCACAGAAGAAGCACCGGCUAACUCCGUGCCAGCAGCCGCGGUAAUACGGAGGGUGCGAGCGUUAAUCGGAAUUACUGGGCGUAAAGCGCGCGUAGGCGGUCUGAUAAGCCGGUUGUGAAAGCCCCGGGCUCAACCUGGGAACGGAUCCGGAAACUGCAGGCUUGAGGGGCGGGAAGGAAAGGAAAAUUUCCGGGGGAGCGGGUAAAAGCGGAGAGAUCGGGAGGAAUACCAGUGGCGAAGGCGGCCUUCUGGACUGACACUGACGCUGAGGUGCGAAAGCGUGGGUAGCAAACAGGAUUAGAUACCCCAGUAGUC